rnacentral:rRNA from 1 species
UACAGAGGGUGCGAGCGUUAAUCGGAAUUACUGGGCGUAAAGCGCGCGUAGGCGGUUUUGUAAGUCGGGUGUGAAAGCCCGGGGCUUAACCCUGGGUCUGCAGUCGAUACGGGCAGGCUAGAGUUCGGUAGGGGAGACUGGAAUUCCUGGUGUAGCGGUGAAAUGCGCAGAUAUCAGGAGGAACACCGGUGGCGAAGGCGGGUCUCUGGGCCGAUACUGACGCUGAGGAGCGAAAGCGUGGGGAGCGAACAGG